rnacentral:rRNA from 1 species
CCUACGGGUGGCUGCAGUGGGGAAUAUUGCACAAUGGGCGCAAGCCUGAUGCAGCGACGCCGCGUGAGGGAUGACGGCCUUCGGGUUGUAAACCUCUUUCGCCAGGGACGAAGCGCAAGUGACGGUACCUGGAGAAGAAGCACCGGCCAACUACGUGCCAGCAGCCGCGGUAAUACGUAGGGUGCGAGCGUUGUCCGGAAUUACUGGGCGUAAAGAGCUCGUAGGCGGUUUGUCGCGUCGUCUGUGAAAUUCUGCAGCUUAACUGUAGGCGUGCAGGCGAUACGGGCAGACUUGAGUACUACAGGGGAGACUGGAAUUCCUGGUGUAGCGGUGAAAUGCGCAGAUAUCAGGAGGAACACCGGUGGCGAAGGCGGGUCUCUGGGUAGUUACUGACGCUGAGGAGCGAAAGCGUGGGGAGCAAACAGGAUUAGAUACCCUAGUAGUC